GGGUAUAGCUCAGUGGUAGAGCAAGUGCUUAGCAUGCACGAGGUCCUGGGUUCAAUCCCCAGUGCUCUCCCUUAAAUAAGUAAUAUAUAAACCGAAUUACCUACUCCCCUAAAAAAAAAAAU